CCUCUCUCAGGAUCACGCCUGGAGAGUUUCCAGUACUGUACCGGUCUUGGCUAUGGGAGGGAGAGUCAAGCAAAGGCAUACCCAUUCCAUUCCUAGCUUGGCCGGUGGCUAGCGAGUGGAAGGCACUCUGCCACAAGU